rnacentral:lncRNA from 1 species
UGACAAAGGGAUUUGCAUCAGUGAUGUUUGGGAUCAGGGCCACCAGGACUAAGGCGUUUUGACUCGUACAGGUCUUCGUUUUCGGACAAAUCAUCUCUUAUCCCUGUGCUGAAACGAUACACCUUCCCCGAACUAGUAGAAAGGGGCAACAUUCGAUAAGAUGUGGUCUGAUUUUCCCCAUUAAUGUUCGCAUUAAGAAGGCGACAUUCAGAUCUUGAUACCGAGUACAAUAUCAGCAUCAAGCAUAAUGCAAGAAAUCGCCAUUGAGCCAUUUUCUUGUUGCGGUUUUAGACACUACAG